rnacentral:rRNA from 1 species
CCUACGGGAGGCAGCAGUGGGGAAUAUUGCGCAAUGGGCGAAAGCCUGACGCAGCGACGCCGCGUGAGGGAUGAAGGUCUUCGGAUCGUAAACCUCUGUCAGCAGGGAAGAACGGUCACUGUGCUAAUCAGCAGUGAAUUGACGGUACCUGCACAGGAAGCACCGGCUAACUCCGUGCCAGCAGCCGCGGUAAUCCGGAGGGUGCGAGCGUUAAUCGGAAUUACUGGGCGUAAAGCGCGCGUAGGCGAUAUGGCAAGUCAGCGGUAAAAUCGGGGGGUACAACCUCGCUCCGCCGUUGAGACGGGCGUUCUUGAGUGGGGGAGAAGUAGGCGGAAUGCGUGGUGUAGCGGUGAAAUGCAUAGAUAUCACGAAGAACUCCGAUUGCGAAGGCAGGAUACCGGCGCGCAACUGACGCUGAAGAACGAAAGCGUGGGUAUCGAACAGGAUUAGAUACCCUUGUAGUC